UGGCGAACGGGUGAGUAACGCGUGAGUAACCUGCCCUGGAGGUGGGGGACAACAGUUGGAAACGACUGCUAAUACCGCAUAAGCCCACAGUGCCGCAUGGCACAGCGGGAAAAGGAUUUAUUCGCUUCAGGAUGGACUCGCGUCCAAUUAGCUAGUUGGUGAGGUAACGGCCCACCAAGGCGACGAUUGGUAGCCGGACUGAGAGGUUGAACGGCCACAUUGGGACUGAGACACGGCCCAGACUCCUACGGGAGGCAGCAGUGGGGGAUAUUGCACAAUGGGGGAAACCCUGAUGCAGCGACGCCGCGUGGAGGAAGAAGGUUUUCGGAUUGUAAACUCCUGUCGUUAGGGACGAUAAUGACGGUACCUAACAAGAAAGCACCGGCUAACUACGUGCCAGCAGCCGCGGUAAAACGUAGGGUGCAAGCGUUGUCCGGAAUUACUGGGUGUAAAGGGAGCGCAGGCGGACCGGCAAGUUGGAAGUGAAAUCUAUGGGCUCAACCCAUAAAUUGCUUUCAAAACUGCUGGCCUUGAGUAGUGCAGAGGUAGGUGGAAUUCCCGGUGUAGCGGUGGAAUGCGUAGAUAUCGGGAGGAACACCAGUGGCGAAGGCGACCUACUGGGCACCAACUGACGCUGAGGUUCGAAAGCAUGGGUAGCAAACAGGAUUAGAUACCCUGGUAGGUCCAUGCC
rnacentral:rRNA from 1 species